GACGAACGCUGGCGGCGUGCUUAACACAUGCAAGUCGAACGGUGAGGCCCGAUCUUGGUCGGUCGGAUUAGUGGCGAACGGGUGAGUAACGCGUGAGCAACCUGCCCUUCACUCUGGGAUAACCUCGGGAAAUCGGGGCUAAUACCGGAUAUGAGCUCCUGUUGCAUGGGGGGGGUUGGAAAGUUUUGGGGUGAAGGGAGGGCCCGCGGCUUAUCAGUUUGUUGGUGGGGUAGUGGCUCACCAAGGCGAUGGCGGGUAGCCGGCCUGAGAGGGCGACCGGCCACACUGGGACUGAGACACGGCCCAGACUCCUACGGGAGGCAGCAGUGGGGAAUAUUGCACAAUGGGCGAAAGCCUGAUGCAGCGACGCCGCGUGGGGGAUGACGGCCUUCGGGUUGUAAACCUCUUUCGGCAGGGAAGAAGCGAAAGUGACGGUACCUGCAGAAGAAGCGCCGGCUAACUACGUG
rnacentral:rRNA from 1 species